rnacentral:ncRNA from 1 species
AAGGCGGCAGCCGAAAAGCCAUAACAGAGUAGGCA